AUUGAAUGCUGGCGGCAGGCCUAACACAUGCAAGUCGAGCGGAUGAGAAGAGCUCGCUCUUCGAUUCAGCGGCGGACGGGUGAGUAAUGCCUAGGAAUCUGCCUGGUAGUGGGGGGCAACGUUUCGAAAGGAACGCUAAUACCGCAUACGUCCUACGGGAGAAAGCAGGGGACCUUCGGGCCUUGCGCUAUCAGGUGAGCCUAGGUCGGAUUAGCUAGUUGGUGAGGUAAUGGCUCACCAAGGCGACGAUCCGUAACUGGUCUGAGAGGAUGAUCAGUCACACUGGAACUGAGACACGGUCCAGACUCCUACGGGAGGCAGCAGUGGGGGAUAUUGGACAAUGGGCGAAAGCCUGAUCCAGCCAUGCCGCGUGUGUGAAGAAGGUCUUCGGAUUGUAAAGCACUUUAAGUUGGGAGGAAGGGUACUUACCUAAUACGUGAGUAUUUUGACGUUACCGACAGAAUAAGCACCGGCUAACUCUGUGCCAGCCGCCGCCGUAAGAC
rnacentral:rRNA from 1 species